UAAUGUGACCAACUGUCCUGGUUUGCCUGGGAAUGAGGAAUUUCCUGGGACAUGGGACUUUUAAUGCUAAAAACAGGGUAGUC
rnacentral:miRNA from 1 species